AAUCCAUGCAUCAGACAUUUUUGAAGUAAUUCUUUAAAUCAUUCCCAAGCUUCAUAUAGCGUUUCAGCCUCCACUUGCUAGAAAGAUGUGAUGUCAUUUCUAAACUU
rfam:Gossypium raimondii Chr05_contig_988, whole genome shotgun sequence.